rnacentral:rRNA from 1 species
GAUGAACGCUGGCGGCGUGCCUAAUACAUGCAAGUCGAGCGAACAGACGAGGAGCUUGCUCCUCUGACGUUAGCGGCGGACGGGUGAGUAACACGUGGAUAACCUACCUAUAAGACUGGGAUAACUUCGGGAAACCGGAGCUAAUACCGGAUAAUAUAUUGAACCGCAUGGUUCAAUAGUGAAAGACGGUUUUGCUGUCACUUAUAGAUGGAUCCGCGCCGCAUUAGCUAGUUGGUAAGGUAACGGCUUACCAAGGCAACGAUGCGUAGCCGACCUGAGAGGGUGAUCGGCCACACUGGAACUGAGACACGGUCCAGACUACUACGGGAGGCAGCAGUAGGGAAUCUUCCGCAAAGGGCGAAAGCAUGACGGAGCAACGCCGCGUGAGUGAUGAAGGUCUUCGGAUCGUAAAACUCUGUUAUUAGGGAAGAACAAAUGUGUAAGUAACUAUGCACGUCUUGACGGUACCUAAUCAGAAAGCCACGGCUAACUACGUG